rnacentral:rRNA from 1 species
GAUGAACGCUGACGGCGUGCCUAAUACAUGCGAGUCGAGCGAACGGACGAGAAGCUUGCUUCUCUGAUGUUAGCGGCGGACGGGUGAGUAACACGUGGAUAACCUACCUAUAAGGCUGGGAUAACUUCGGGAAACCGGAGCUAAUACCGGAUAAUAUUUUGAACCGCAUGGUUCAAAAGUGAAAGACGGUCUUGCUGUCACUUAUAGAUGGAUCCGCGCUGCAUUAGCUAGUUGGUAAGGUAACGGCUUACCAAGGCAACGAUGCAUAGCCGACCUGAGAGGGUGAUCGGCCACACUGGAACUGAGACACGGUCCAGACUCCUACGGGAGGCAGCAGUAGGGAAUCUUCCGCAAUGGGCGAAAGCCUGACGGAGCAACGCCGCGUGAGUGAUGAAGGUCUUCGGAUCGUAAAACUCUGUUAUUAGGGAAGAACAUAUGUGUAAGUAACUGUGCACAUCUUGACGGUACCUAAUCAGAAAGCCACGGCUAACUACGUG